GUGGGGAAUCUUCCGCAAUGGACGAAAGUCUGACGGAGCAACGCCGCGUGAGUGAUGACGGCCUUCGGGUUGUAAAGCUCUGUUAAUCGGGACGAAAGGCCUUCUUGCGAAUAGUGAGAAGGAUUGACGGUACCGGAAUAGAAAGCCACGGCUAACUACGUGCCAGCAGCCGCGGUAAUACGUAGGUGGCAAGCGUUGUCCGGAAUUAUUGGGCGUAAAGCGCGCGCAGGCGGAUAGGUCAGUCUGUCUUAAAAGUUCGGGGCUUAACCCCGUGAUGGGAUGGAAACUGCCAAUCUAGAGUAUCGGAGAGGAAAGUGGAAUUCCUAGUGUAGCGGUGAAAUGCGUAGAUAUUAGGAAGAACACCAGUGGCGAAGGCGACUUUCUGGACGAAAACUGACGCUGAGGCGCGAAAGCCAGGGGAGCGAACGGG
rnacentral:rRNA from 1 species